ACGCUCGACACCUACAGAAGGCAGCAGUGGGGAAUAUUGCACAAUGGGGGAAACCCUGAUGCAGCGACGCCGCGUGAAGGAAGAAGUAUCUCGGUAUGUAAACUUCUAUCAGCAGGGAAGAAAGUGACGGUACCUGACUAAGAAGCCCCGGCUAACUACGUGCCAGCAGCUGGAGUAUNGNGGCGGNGNGAGAGC
rnacentral:rRNA from 1 species